rnacentral:rRNA from 1 species
GAUGAACGCUGGCGGCGUGCUUAACACAUGCAAGUCGAACGGAAAGGCUCCUGCUUGCAGGGGUACUCGAGUGGCGAACGGGUGAGUAACACGUGGGUGAUCUGCCCUGCACUUCGGGAUAAGCCUGGGAAACUGGGUCUAAUACCGGAUAGGACGAUGGUUUGGAUGCCAUUGUGGAAAGUGUUUCGGUGUGGGAUGAGCUCGCGGCCUAUCAGCUUGUUGGUGGGGUAAUGGCCUACCAAGGCGUCGACGGGUAGCCGGCCUGAGAGGGUGUACGGCCACAGUGGGACUGAGAUACGGCCCAGACUCCUACGGGAGGAAUCAGUGGGGAAUAGUGCACAAUGGGCGCAAGCCUGAUGCAGCGACGCCGCGUGGUGGAUGACGGCCUUCGGGUUGUAAACUCCUUUCGCUAGGGACGAAGCGCAAGUGACGGUACCUGGAGAAGAAGCACCGGCUAACUACGUG